AACGAACGCUANCKCGNRNUNNKNCUUAACACAUGCAAGNUCGAACGGACKANNNUARUUGGGGCUUGCUCCAAUUAGUUAGUGGCAGACGGGUGAGUAACACGUGGGAAUCUGCCCAUCAGUACGGAAUAACUUUUAGAAAUAAAAGCUAAUACCGUAUAUUCUCUACGGAGGAAAGAUUUAUCGCUGAUGGAUGAGCCCGCGUCAGAUUAGGUAGUUGGUGGGGUAAUGGCCUACCAAGCCUACGAUCUGUAGCUGGUCUGAGAGGAUGAUCAGCCACACUGGGACUGAGACACGGCCCAGAC
rnacentral:rRNA from 1 species